ACUCCAAAACCCAUUUAUUUUUGGUAUUUGUGAAUUUUACCACAAAAAUUGCUGCAUUUGAAAAUUAUGAAAAAUAUGAUAUGCUUGUAUGUUUUACACAAAGCAAUUAAAAUGCUGAAGAAGUUUCAGAAUUAUAUUUCCAUAGAUAUCCAGAGAGAAGGCAACCAUUUUUUGGUAUAUUUCCUCGUUUAAAGGACAAUUUACUUGAGCACGGAUCUUUUGUUUAGCCGCGUCCUAAAGCAUUCAAUAAAGAAAAAAGGGAAAAAAAAGAAAGAGAUGCUUUAGGUUAUAUAGCAGCGACACCCUCGAGCUCAUGCAGAAAAAUCGAAAAAGAACUUGGAGUGUCAAAAACUGACGCUCAACUAGAUGGUACCUAGACAUACUUGAGGAAGUUAUUCCAGGACUUCAGGAAAAUAUCCCUUUAGCCCAAUAUAACUAUCGACCUAUAAAAAGAUGGUGCCCCAAGUCAUACUCUGGGCUAAUAAGGGCAUUUUUUAAAAAUAACUUUGCUCAAAGAUGGAUAGGUACAAACGGACCUGUUAGAUAGUCUCCACGGUCCCCCAAUCUCUCGAUUUUAGAUUUUUUUUAUGGGGGUAUAUACAAGAUCAAGUGUAUAAAAGACAAUGCAAUAAUCUAAUUUCAAGACGCAAUUCAUUUAGCAUUUCAAAAUCUGAGAAGGAGACAAAUUAUUAUUUUGAAUGCUAUUCAAAGGGUUACAAGGAAGGAUGCUAAUUUUGCAUCAGAGAAGAUGGUGGUCAUUUUGAACAUCUAAUAUAAUAAUGUUGUUUCGUUACAUUGUUGUUUGUUAUAUAGUUGUUUUCUUAUAGUGUUUAUUAAAUUUAUAUGCUUGUUU